rnacentral:lncRNA from 1 species
AAAACUAUGUAACUUGUGUAAAGAAGGCUUGAGCAUUAUACAUUAUAAAUUGGCAAAAUUAUAUUCUGUUUUUUGUAUGCAAAGGAGGAAAUAUGACUAAACUUAUGAAGUUUGUUUGUGUUAUGAUCUUCUUUCUUUUCCUAUUUCAUGUUGCAACAAGUGAUGACCGCCGUAAGCUAUUUUUCAUUUUUUUGCAUUAAAAUUAUACAGUCAUGUCAUAAAGUAGUACAAUUAAUUAGGAGUACUUUUGAAAGAAUAACAUUAAAUAAAAUAUCUUUCGAUAACUCUUGUUUAUAUUUGAGUUCAAACUUUUUUGUUUGUUUUUUUUAUAAGCAAAAUUUGAAUUAUAAAGAAUAUAAGGGGUACUCAACCCUUACAAUUCAAAGACAAUCCUCUUAGAUAUUACUAAAGCAAUCUAAGGGAUUGUUACACCAGUCAGAGCAAGCUACAUUAACAUUGCUAUUUAAGCGACCUAUAAACCAAAACCAAGCAAUAUAAAUAAUUUGAUUCACCAAAAACACACAACAUCUCUCAUGGAUAUUUGUAAUGAUGCCCUUGUUGAAUAAAGUCUCUCUAGUUGGUAGUUUGUCAAGCAACAAUCUCCAACAAAAAAUACUAAUUUUCGACGGAACAUUAUUCAACCAAAGAGCCUUCAAAGCUUUCGCAAUGUUGUGCUCGCAAGCAAAAGCUUCAAACCUGUUCUGCAGCAUCUUAUACGCUGCCUUUACCAUGAAAAUUUUUGUAUAUAAAUAAGGUCGGAGCGAGUAUGCCCUUUAAUUAAUAACAUUAAUUCUUGUACGUGUUAUCUUUUUUAUUACAGGUGAGUGUUUUGGUGACAAUCAUUGUGCACAUGUUAAGUGUAAGCUUUCUUGGAUUCCGCGGUGUACUAGUACUUUUCAAUGCAAAUGUAUGGAUCCCAUCUCUCGCAUAACUUUUCUAUAAGGAAGAAUGAUUUCUUGCACCAGCAAAAGAUCUAUGAAACAUCGUUAUGAUAUAUGUCAUAUAAGUCAUUUAAUAAUC